ensembl:lncRNA
CCCCACCUACCCCGCUGCGUCCUCGCCCGGUGCCGGCGGCCUCGGAGGCACCCGGCGGGGCGAAAAACCCCCAAAACGGCCCCAAAACGUGGGCACGGCGCUGCCGUUGGGGGCCGGGCGGAUCGGGGCAACCGUCCCCGGCCGAAGGUCGCCCGCCGCCGCCCGCGCUUUAUGGCCCCGAGCGCCGCGCCGUGGCAGCCCCAAAAUCCCCGUUUUUCCCCCAAAAAAACGCCCAGGGCCUUGCCCCCAGCCCCAAAUUCCCGGCCCCGAUUUUUGGGGUCCCCCCCCCGGUGAUUUCUCCCCGCAGACGGCGGCGGCCCCGCGGCCAAGCGGAGCCCCCGGGAGGACGCUGGCGGCGCGGGGACGGCGGCACCGGGUGCAGGAUGGGACCUGCCCCGGGAAGGGCUGAGCACCGGCACCGGCGGUGCUGAGCCCACCACGAGCCCAAAAUGCAUGGGGACGGCGGCACCGGGUGCAGGAUGGGACCUGUCCCAGGAAGGGCUGAGCACCGGCACCGGCGGUGCUGAGCCCACCACGAGGUGAGGGGGACGGGGACGGGGGCGGGGGGGCGAGGCCGGCGGGCUCCGCGGAGGACUGAUUUUGGCGUUUUUCAGCCCAAAAUGCGUGGGGACGGCGGCCACGGAGCGCGGCCACGGAGCCCAGCAGGAAGGAGCCGACGGCGGCGAGCGGGGUCCGGAUGCCGGCUCAGCACCGGAGCUCAGCGCCGCGGGGACGCCAGCGCCGCCGGGCAGCACCCGGGCACCCGGGGACCCCCACGGGGGGCUCUGCCCUGCGCCGGGGGGCACCGCGGGCACCAGCACCAGCACCGGUACCAGCACCAGCAGCAGCACUGGUACCAGCACCGGCAUUGACCCCAGCACCAGCACUGAGCCCAGCACCGGCACCGGCAGUAGCCCCAGCGCCAGUACCAGUACCGGCACUGACACCAGCACCAGUGCCAGCACCGGCACAAGCACCAGCACCGAUGCCAGAACCAGCACCAGCAUUGACCCCAGCACCAGCACUGACCCCAGCACCGGCACCGGCACUGGCCCCAGCACCAGUACCAGUACUGGCACUGACACCAGCACCAGUGCCAGCACCGGCACAAGCACCAGCACCGAUGCCAGAACCAGCACCAGCACCAGCAAUGAUCCCAGCACCACCACCGGCACCAGCACCAGCAUUGACCCCAGCACCAGCACCAAUGCCAGCACCAGCACUGACCCCAGCGCCGGUACCAGUACUGACACUGACCCCAGCACUGGCACCGACACCAGCACCGAAACCAGCACCAGUGCCAGCACCAGCACCACCACCGGCACCAGCACCAGUACCAGCACUGACCCCAGCACCACCACCGGCACCGAUGCCAGCACCAGUACUGGCACCAGCACUAGCAAUGACCCCAGCACCACCACUGGCACCACCACCGGCACCAGCAAUGGCACCGGUACCAGCACUGGCAUGAGCACCAGCACCGAUACCAGCACCGAUACCAGCACCACCACCACCACCAGUACCAGCACUGACCCCAGCACCACCGGCACCAGCACCGACACCAGCAUUGACCCCAGCACCACCACCAGCACCAAUACCAGCACCAGCACCACCAGCACUGACACCAGCAUGAACACCACCACCAGCACCAGCACCUACCCCAGCAUCGACACCAGCACCACCAGCACCACCACCAGCACCGGCACCGACCCCAGCAUCGACACCAGCACCACCAGCACCACCAGCACCACCACCAGCACCAGCACCUACCCCAGCAUCGACACCAGCACCACCAGCACCACCACCAGCACCAGCACCGGCAGCCCCCAGCCCCCAGAGACUCCCGGACGCCACUGCACCGAGGCAGACGGCGGCACCGCCACUGGUGCUGAGCGCCCGAGCGGGGCCGUGGAGCCGAGCGGGAGCCCGGCGGAGGUCUGGGGGCGCUGCCCCCCCCCGGGGGUCCCACAGGGGGGCCAGGAGGAGGCCAAGGAGCUCAGGGACCCAGGACCCCGGGGUGCUGCGGUGCUGGGGGGGGGCACGGCGGAGGCAGAGCCGCGGCCCCCCGGUGCGGUGAGGGACACCCCAAACGCCGACGGCGCGGUGCCCCCGCAGACACCCCCCACCGGGCCACGGGAUGCUGCAGGAUGCGGCCACCCCCCAGCGCUCAGCAGCACCGCGCCGCGGGCACAGCCUGGGUAAGGGGCACCGCGCGCUGCCGGGCCAAAAAUGCUUGUUUUAACCCCAAAACGUGGCCC